rnacentral:rRNA from 1 species
UACGUAGGGGGCAAGCGUUGUCCGGAAUCAUUGGGCGUAAAGAGCGCGUAGGCGGCCCUGUAAGUCCGCUGUGAAAGUCAAGGGCUCAACCCUUGAAUGCCGGUGGAUACUGCAGGGCUAGAGUCCGGAAGAGGCGAGUGGAAUUCCUGGUGUAGCGGUGAAAUGCGCAGAUAUCAGUCGGAACACCGGUGGCGAAGGCGGCUUCUUGGGCCAUUUCUGACGCUGAGGCGCGAAAGCUAGGGAGCGAACGGG